GAUGAACUUUAACUAGAUACAUAGUUACUAGGUUUCAGUCUAAUCAGAAUUGUAUAUCUAGUUCCUUACAGCGGAAAGCAUGGAAAUAGGCUGAAAGUACUGGACGUAGAAAUGUAAAAUUUGGAAUGAUUAUAAAAUUCCCACGGGAACGAGAAACUAAAGGAAUUAUUAAGAGUGUACGUGGUCGCGAGAAAAUCUAGUAUUUCUCUAUACUUCUGUAUCAAUGUAUGCAUGCGACAAAUCAGGUUAUAUAAACUGCCAAACGGGCAAACGGGUGUGCGGUCUACCUAAUGUAGGGCGCGCCCCCUAGCUGCCCAAACCGGGCAUCGAACCUCGGACAUCUGGCUGCGCACGCGCCGCCCCGGCUCGCUCAUCGCCGGUGGUUAUAUCCAGCUGUAUAUUAUUAUAAAAAUAUAUUAUAAUUAUUUGUAUAAAUUUUGUUA